GACAGAGGAUGCAAGUGUUAUCCGGAAUCACUGGGCGUAAAGCGUCUGUAGGUGGUUUAAAAAGUCCACUGUUAAAAAUUGAAGCUUAACUUCAAAGAUGCCGUGGAAACUUUUAAACUUGAGUAUGAUAGGGGUAGAGGGAAUUUCCAGUGGAGCGGUGAAAUGCGUAGAUAUUGGAAAGACCACCAAUGGCGAAGGCACUCUACUGGGCCAUUACUGACACUGAGAGACGAAAGCUAGGGGAGCGAAUGGG
rnacentral:rRNA from 1 species